rnacentral:rRNA from 1 species
AGCGAACGCUGGCGGCAGGCUUAACACAUGCAAGUCGAACGCCAUCUUCGGAUGGAGUGGCAGACGGGUGAGUAACGCGUGGGAACGUACCCUUUGGUUCGGAAUAUUCUCGGGAAACUGGGAGCAAUACCGGAUAAGCCCUACGGGGGAAAGAUUUAUCGCCAAAGGAGCGGCCCGCGUCAGAUUAGGUAGUUGGUGGGGUAAAGGCCUACCGAGCCUACGAUCUGUAGCUGGUCUGAGAGGAUGAUCAGCCACACUGGGACUGAGACACGGCCCAGACUCCUACGGGAGGCAGCAGUGGGGAAUCUUGGACAAUGGGCGCAAGCCUGAUCCAGCCAUGCCGCGUGGAUGAUGAAGGCCUUAGGGUUGUAAAAUCCUUUCAACGGGGACGAUAAUGACGGUACCCGUAGAAGAAGCCCCGGCUAACUUCGUG